rnacentral:tRNA from 1 species
GCCUAGUUAGCGUGUUUGGUAGCGCGUCUGCCUUGUAAGCGCUAGACCGCGGGUUCGAUUCCCGCCCGGGGCG